CACACUUUUUUUUUCUUUUUUAAGGUUAAAUGAGGGGGCAGCAUUUAAGUCUUUUCUCCCUAAAGGUCAAAUGAAGAUCUUUUUUUCCCAGAGCAGGCUGGAUGUAUUGAAAUGUUAAUAUAAAGAGCGACGGAGGCGACGCUGCAGGACAGAAGGUGUUCAGAAAGGUUUUGGUGUGUUGGUGGUAAAUGAUACGGCUGCCUGGGAACGACGGAGGGGAACUGGGACAGCGCUGAUGAGAACCGGCAAUAAAACAACCGGGUUUGUGCUGCGAGACGGGAAACACCAGGUGUGUGUCGUCCUCCCUCAGUUUCAGGAAUGGAGAGAGUUAUGCAAGAGAUGUAAGAAAGGAGCUCCAAACAGCAAACAAAAUGUCCACCAUAUCCCAUUUUCCCUGAAUUUCAUCCAUCCACAGAGACUUUUUUGCGUCUUCUUCAGUUUUGCACGAGGCUAAUGUGGCUAAUAAGUAAUGGAAGCUUAUAGCCACCAGUUUAGCCUUGUGUAUUCUGCUUUUUAUGUUUAUGCGAUUUCUGACACACUGUUAGCUAGAAAAUGGACAAUAAGGAAAAAGUCUCACAUUUAGAGACAAUCAUAGAUUCUUCUUGAAGCUGAAUCACUUUCUUUCUCACCAUAUGACUCACGACUCGAAUUGGACUUCAAACCUUAUGAUUCACUAGUUGACUUGGACUUCAAACCUUACGGCAUAUGACCCAACAUCAACGUCAAAUGUUUUGACUCCUGACUCAACGUCAACUACAAAACUUACGAUUUAUUACUCAGGACUCGACUUAGACUUCAAACCUUAUAAUAACUCAUGACGCUCAUAGCGCUUUUAACAAUAGACAUUGUCACAAAGCAGCUUUACAGAAAUAAAUACAUUCAAAAUAAAUUAAAUCAAAAUAGUUGGUGACGGUGGUGAGGAAAAGCUCCCUGAGACGACAUGAGGAAGAAACCUUGAGAGGAACUAGACUCAGAAGGAUAGUGCGAUUAUAAACAAUUCCCUUCUAUAACUGUGUACUACAUGGACUUCAAACUUUAUGACUCAUGAAUUGGACUUCAAACCUUAUGACUUGGACUCUGGACUUGACUCAGACUCAAAACUAAGUCAAGAACAAGUCUGAUUUUGAGCAAUUGUGCAAGACCCAUAAGAUAAGUUCCAGUAUGAAUUGAAAAAUCCGAGUCUCUGAAUGUGUGUGUGUGUGUGUGUGUGUGUGAGAGUAAUGAAGCUCGUCACUGCAAAAUGCUGAAA